CAGGGGUGAGUCACGGCCUCCUGCCCGGGCCUCCUGCAGCUUCCUGCUCCCUGCGCUGUGGUCCCCCAGCUGGCCUGCCCUACCUCGCCAGGGCCACCCCAGGACCUCUGGACCUUGGCCUGGUGGCCUUGCAGAGGUCUUAGGUGACCCAGCUGCCCCCUGGGACCGUGACUGUCGACCUGUGUUCGAGGCCCAGGGGGCACGGCCUCAUCCUGGACUUGCAACAUGGAGAAAAGUGGCAUUUUGACCCCGUGUGACGGCUGAGGAGCUGAGGCCCGGGGAGGGCUGGAGUUCUCCUGGCGGGGCAGGGGGCGAAUGGCCCGGAGCUGCCAGGCAGUAAUUAGCGCGGGCAGCUCUCUGAAGUCGGCGCUGGAGGCAGACGUGUGAUUAAACCACUUUACAGAAGUACCGGAACGUUCCCGGGAUGGCGGAGCAGCCUCCAGUCCUGGCCGCGGUCCCAGAGUUCUGGAAUGUUGGAAUCCAACGGCCUCCGGACGCUCUCCAGGAGGAAGGGGACACUAGGCUGCCCAGGGGAGCAGGACCGCCAACAGGCCCGCGUCCACCCCCCGUUUUCCAGCCAUAGCACCCCAGCUUCCUACCAGAGAACACUUCUCCCCCAUUUCAGGCCGCGAGGCCUGGGGGGUGCCUGAGAACCCCGGCUCCAAGAGUGCACAGGUGACCAGCUCUCCCCGCUGUGAUUGGCCCCCUGGGGAGGKCCUGGGGAGGUCCUGGGGCCACGCUCACCCGACGAAGCCCUGUCCUGGGACUUGAGUGCGGAGAGGUGGGGAAGGYGCGCAGUGGGUCCCCUGGAUGGAGAAUGAGCCAGCGAAGGGCCCAAGCCUGCCUGAGAGCCRGACAGGGGCAGAGCUCCUGGAUCCAGCCAGACCUGAAUCACACACCCUUGGACUCCGAUUACAGAAACUGCUACCUUUCCUGGUUUGGGCUGAAAACAGUUUGAAGUAGUUUUCUCUCCCUUAUUCCGAUGGAGCCAUGGGAGGAGACGAGAGGGGAAGAGAGUCCCAGCCGAGGGAAGGGGCAGCAGCGCCGGGAGGGACCCCGUGACGGGGGAGGGGCCAGGCGGGCGACCGGAGUGUCCCAGCCAGGGAYGCCGGGUGAGAGGUGGAGAGCGGCUGGCUAGCAGGAGGCUGACCACGUACCAGGCUGGGCUGGGCGUCGGGGACACAGCUGGACUGUCCCUCCCGACCGCCUGGAGCAGGCUCCUUCCCAGCUCGCCCCGCCCCAGCGCCCUGGGGUUCAGGAGCCCAGCGUUGGGCGGUGUCCACCCUGGGGCCACCUCACGGGUCACACGGUGGGGAUGAUUCCCUCUGCAAACCUUCCAGGAUCCCCCGGGACCCGGCUGUCCCCUCCUGAGGAAGAGCACCCCCUGCCCCUCUGUGGCCCAGCUCCAUCUCUGCUGAACCCCCAGAUGUGUGGGGUGUGACGCAGGGAAGAGAGGACCUCGGCCUGACGAGCCGCGGAGCAUGUCACCGCAGGCACUGGACAGGCAGAGUGUCACCACCCCGAGUCCUCUGUCCCCUCCACGCACCUCCCCUUGGAGGGCCCCCUCCCGGCUCCCUCGCCACACCUAGCCCCUCAGGCGUGUGGACUUGGUUCUGAUCCGGGUCUGUCCCUGUACCCGUGCUACUCCAGGUGCCGCCUGGGGACCCAGCGUGCUGCCUCCUUGGGUCUGGGUUCCCCUUCAGCAUGGCGUUGAAGACACACACAGGCAGGGCUGGGUGCAGCUCAGGGGCAGCGCUCACCCGGCUUGCACGGGGCUGGGGGGCGAGCGGGGAGAGGCGUGCAGUUGUGCCAGGCUGUAGAUGACCCUUUUUGAUGGGCACCUAAUAUUCCCUUGGGCCACAUGGUGAGCCAUUCACCACUUGAGGUUUAUUUGAACYGUUUCCAAACAGGUUUUUGUGUGGACACACAUUUUUGUUUACCCUGGGUAAAUUCCGAGGAGUGGCGCUACUGGGUCACRUGGCAGGUGUGUGAGUCGCUGUUGAGCUCUUCCCCAGCGUCUAGGUCACUCUGAGCUCCCACCAKCGGGGCAUCAGAGCUUCAGGACUCCCGUCCUCUCCAACCCUUGUGUUGUCAGGUGGCUUUUAAAGAUAUUUUUAGAAUUUUAGCCCUUGAAGUCGGUGCCCAUCUCACCACAGCUUUAUCUCGCGCAUCCCUAAUGGUCAACGAUCUGGCGCUUUGUGGAAUGUGACUAUUUGCCAYUGACACAUUUUCUUUGGUGUCGUAUCUGUUCCAACAUUUUGGCCUCCGUGAAAACGGGAUUGUUUACUUGUUAAUGGGUUCGGAGCGCUCUUUAUAUAUUCUGGAUACUGGUCAGCGCUUUGUCAAAUAUGUGAUCUGCAAAUACCUCCUCCCAGCCUGUGGCUGGGUUUCUCGUGUUUUGCUAAUAGGUAGACCUCAGUGACAUUGUUUUGUUUUGGUUGCGAUGAUUUCUCUGGUUAACGUUGGCUUGUGGCGUGUUCUUUGUUAUCUCAA